rnacentral:rRNA from 1 species
UACAGAGGUCUCAAGCGUUGUUCGGAUUCAUUGGGCGUAAAGGGUGUGUAGGUGGCGCCGUUAGUCGGGUGUGAAAUUUCGGAGCUUAACUCCGAAACUGCAUUCGAUACUGCGGUGCUUGAGGACUGGAGAGGAGACUGGAAUUCAUGGUGUAGCAGUGAAAUGCGUAGAGAUCAUGAGGAAGACCAGUGGCGAAGGCGGGUCUCUAGACAGUUCCUGACACUGAGACACGAAGGCCAGGGGAGCAAACGGG